rnacentral:lncRNA from 1 species
UGUAUAUAACAGGAAUUUACUUUUCUUCGAAUUUCUCUGCUCUGUUAUAAAUUAUAUAUUGUGCUGCCUUGAUUGCAUGAUUGAAGUUUAUCUGAUUAAGAUAAAAAAAAUUUAUAAUUAAUACAUUAACGAUUAAUAAUUAAAACAAUAGCCGGUUAUACGUACGUAUAGUUUUUUUUUUUUUUUAUUGUGGAAAAUAACGUCCCGCUGAACUAAUUGUCCAAUGCUAGUAGAUCAUGGUGGAAGGGUUAGCAGCUGAUAGCGUCAUUGGUUCAACGGGUCAAUCAACUCUUCGCAGUCACUGUGAGAGAAAGCAAAGAUAUAUAGGACGACAGGAAGUUGGAGAAACAAGGUCAAGGGUGAUAGCGACUUCCGUUUUGACCGCCGCCUGCUGGCUGACUUUUAUGUCCAACUCUUUACAAUCGUGUUUUCGUCUGGCUAAAAUCUCUUCUUAUUUUUACCAUUCUAUCAUCGUUUAUAUAUAUUUAUAACAAUAUUUCGACGAAAUGCGAUUAAAUUUAUAGACACUAGACGAGUCGGUGGGCAAAUUAAGUAAUUAGAAGGUUAAGGAGAGCGAAGGGACGCAUUUUGCAUUUUUAACAGCGAUUAUGUGCAUUGGACAGUGUGUGUGUACAUUUUAUGGCUGUUAGCAAAAUAUAAAAUUUUAUUUUAUAUUCAGAUUCCUCGGCCAGGACGCGUUUGGAUUGGUAGACAAACCAACGAGUGGCGCACUACACAAAAUCGAUUUGUCAUGUGGUGCGGUGUGAGGCAGCGAAAAAUCGCCUCGCGUCAGGUUGAUUUGUAAUCUACGUGUGGAUGACCAAACCCCUUUUAUUCUCACCUUGAAGUGAAUUUCUUUUGUUAAAACGGCAAAUAUCUCGAUUUCCCACCGAGCAAUUCUUAAAUUCCAAAACUUGAUCUGAAUGCUGUUGGCAUUUUCACAAAAAUUCUGGGAAAUGUCACGGAAUUUCGUUCGAUAACUCAUUUACAUUUCUAGCCAAUUUUCAAAAUCUUUUUUUUCUUCUUCUUUUUUUCCUUCUCUGUAUGUAUGUGGUAAUGUCAAAUUAAACUCGGCGCCAUAUACAUUUUUAUCCGCGUCAAAAUCUACCAAAAAAAAGGAAAAAAUGGCGAUGCAAUUUUAUGUAAAAAGUAUUUCCUAGCUACGUAUCAUCGUCGUAAAAUAAUAUCAAAAUUACUAAUAAUUAUAGUAAAUAAGGUAUGAUAAUGGAAUCGAUCCAGUUUUUCUUCCCAGUGACGUUACGGAAUAUAAAAUUUGGUGUUAGCGAGAUGGAACAAUGACGUCACCGUAUUCCGUAUCGUAGCUUUAGCAACAGUGUCGAGACACCUUGAUAUACUUAUCGCUACAAUGCAGUGCCGUUCCCUUUGUUAUCUGCAUUGCGAGACCCGCCAGGUGUUCCGAUAGGCUACCUGUCACGAAUACAAUAGUUUAUUCUUGUUUGUAAAUCUCACUUUUACAAUCACGUUCCAGUCAUUCUUUCACGUACGCUUUCAGUCUUCAAUCGAAAACUUUUUUUUUUCUUCUUAUAGUUAAAUAGGAGCCAGAUGAUAGAACCAAGCUUGUUAGUGUCGAACUGCGAACACGAAAGAGGUGCCGAGAUAAGGACGCACACAGACACACAUCAAUACACGAGUACGUUACGUCAAUAACCCUGUUGUUACGUCAGAAGAGAAGGAUUAGGAAGAUAACUGAUGACUAAUACAGUUGUUAGGAAGGUGGUUCAAUUGCAUUUGACGAUAAGUCGAUACUUUGACGUAACCGGUGGCCAUUAGUUUUUCUUGAUUACCACGCUGCGAAAAACGUCUUUGUUUAUUUAAUAAUACACUUUUAAAGUUGAUAUAUCCAAAACCAAUAUUAUAUAGCACGCGAAAAAAUUCAAGUUCGAUAUUAUACGUGUAACUUGUUAUUAAAUCCAAAAAAUAAUAUAUACAAACUUCUGCAAAUUUAUUUCUAGUCGCAGAGUUAAAUUUCCGCCUAAUAUAAGUUCGAAAACUCCUUAAAAUUUUGGAUUAACUUUGAAACCCGAAAGCAGAGUUGACUUAAUUAGGCAAAUUUUACUUGUGAACAGUAAAAUGACGUCAGAGAAUAAGCAGUGAGUGGGUCUGCGUCAUCCGUCCGUCGGCAAUGUUGCCAGACUGUAGUGAACCAUCUUUUGAAUCUAAAAAAAGUUUUGAAAAUUUUAAAUAUUCUUUAUUGAAUAUUUAAAAAUGAUAGAAAGGGAAAAAAUCCCUUUUUAAUAUUUAAAUAUCAAGUUCCACGAAAAUUUUGUGUAUAAACUUUAAAAUUCUGAUCUUUCGACUACAAUGAUUUAAAAAAAAAUUCUUUAU